rnacentral:rRNA from 1 species
GAUGAACGCUAGCGACAGGCUUAACACAUGCAAGUCGAGGGGCAGCGAGAUUGUGGCAACACGAUUGUCGGCGACCGGCGCACUGGUGAGUAACACGUAUGCAACCUGCCGCGCACUGGGGGAUAAUCUUGGGAAACCGAGUCUAAUACCCCGUAGGCCUUGUUGCCGCAUGGUAAUAAGGUAAGAGGAGUGAUCCGAUGCGCGAUGGGCGUGCGGCGCAUUAGCUAGUUGGCGGGGUAACAGCCCACCAAGGCGACGAUGCGUAGGGGUUCUGAGAGGAAGGUCCCCCACACUGGUACUGAGACACGGACCAGACUCCUACGGGAGGCAGCAGUGAGGAAUAUUGGUCAAUGGGCGGAAGCCUGAACCAGCCAUGCCGCGUGAAGGAAUAAGGCCCUAUGGGUCGUAAACUUCUUUUGUGGUGGAGCAAUAAGUGUUACGUGUAACGCGAUGAGAGUACAUCACGAAUAAGCAUCGGCUAACUCCGUGCCAGCAGCCGCGGUAAUACGGAGGAUGCAAGCGUUAUCCGGAUUUAUUGGGUUUAAAGGGUGCGUAGGCUGUAGUGCAAGUCAGGGGUGAAAGCCCGGGGCCCAACCCCGGAACUGCCCUUGAUACUGUACCACUGGAGUUCGGAUGCCGUGGGGAGGAAUGAGUAGUGUAGCGGUGAAAUGCAUAGAUAUUACUCAGAACACCGAUUGCGAAGGCAUCUCACGAAUCCGACACUGACGCUGAGGCACGAAAGCGUGGGGAUCAAACAGGAUUAGAUACCCUGGUAGUCCACGCAGUAAACGAUGAUGACUAACUGUCGGCGAUAAACAGUCGGUGGCCAAGCGAAAGCGAUAAGUCAUCCACCUGGGGAGUACGUUCGCAAGAAUGAAACUCAAAGGAAUUGACGGGGGCCCGCACAAGCGGAGGAACAUGUGGUUUAAUUCGAUGAUACGCGAGGAACCUUACCCGGGCUCGAACGGCUAGUGAACGACUCAGAGAUGAGAAGGUCCUUCGGGACACUAGUCGAGGUGCUGCAUGGUUGUCGUCAGCUCGUGCCGUGAGGUGUCGGCUUAAGUGCCAUAACGAGCGCAACCCUUGCCGCCAGUUACCAUCAAGUAGUGUUGGGGACUCUGGCGGGACUGCCACCGCAAGGUGAGAGGAAGGCGGGGAUGACGUCAAAUCAGCACGGCCCUUACGUCCGGGGCGACACACGUGUUACAAUGGCGGCCACAGAGGGAAGCCACCCUGCGAGGGGGAGCAAAUCCCGAAAAGCCGCCUCAGUUCGGACUGGAGUCUGCAACCCGACUCCACGAAGCUGGAUUCGCUAGUAAUCGCGCAUCAGCCAUGGCGCGGUGAAUACGUUCCCGGGCCU